UUGGCUUCAAUCUUCUUCUUCCCGUAACCAUCAAACCAAGCAUACAAUUUCUCUUUCUUGUGAAAAAAAAAAAUGUGUGCAUUGACACCAAUGUUUCCGACAAGGCUUGGAUGGGCUCCAAUGGAGUAUCCAUUGAUGUCCAAAGCAGAAUCUUUCCUCGGUCCUUUAAAUUCUGUUGCUGAAACCGAUCAGAAUAACUGUAAGGAUGCGGCAAUGAAGAAGCUUAGCCACAAUGCGAGUGAACGUGACCGCCGCAAGAAACUCAACUCCUUGUAUUCUUCUCUCCGGUCUCUCUUGCCUCGUUCCGACCACACGCAGAAGAAGCUGAGCAUUCCGGGGACAGUAUCGUAUGUUCUAAAGUACAUACCUGAGCUCAGACAAGAAGUCGAACGGAUGUGCAGGAAGAAGGAACAACUCUUGAAGAGAAUCUCAAGACAAGGGCCUGUCUCCUCAGCUCAUGAACAUGAACAACACAUGCAGAGGCCGACGAACAAAGAUCUCUCUCCGAUGAUUCUGACAUCUCGGCUCACUGACACGGAAUUCGCUGUCCAGAUUGCGAAUCUGAACAAAUCUCAGAUUUCAGAUACAUUGCUUGGUCUAGAAGAAAGCUCCAUGGAAGUGAUAAGUGUAUCUUCUUCGGUUUAUUCAAACACACGAGUGAUGCACACUUUGCAUCUGCAGAUGGAUGGAGAUUGCGUGGUGAAGGCUGAAGAACUGAGUGAUGUGAUCUUGGCAUUGCAGGAGAAGCAAUAUCAAUGGCGUCAGUAGCCAAGUCAGCCAUGAAUAUGCAGAGGAAUUUGGGGACUCUCUAUGCAUGGUGGUGAAAAACACGAGAAGCAACAUCAAUCACUUCCUUAGUUCUGUCUCUUCAAGUUAAGGUUUCGCAUUCAUAAACGCAGUGGUUCUUCUUCCCUGCUGUAUCAGCACGGACCAAGAGUUCGAUUUUUCCUGAGCUAUUUUCAAACGGGAAAGCACAAAGAUAUAUAUAGAAUUACAAUACCAGUUGAAAACAUAUGUUUUAUCAUCUGAUUGUGUGAAGAAAGCCGAGUCACUGUACAGUUUACCGACAAGAAUGGCGGUGUAGACAGAGUCCGGGGACAAGAUUUUCCGCACAUUUUAUCUGUGGAUACGAAUGGAACUGUACCGAUUCUUAGAAUGGCCUUUGAAGGUUGCCAUGGAAGGCACCCCUUCUUUA